GAGCUAACAUGAUUGAUAAAUGGAAAUAGUUUUGAUUGUGCUGAAUGUUUGGUCUCCAAAAGUAAAGUUCAAUCAAAGUCAACGUCCAUUUGAAUUGGAUGGCAUGUGACAUAUGUUACCCCGUAACAUGAUAAAUAAGCAUGAUACAUGGUCCAAACUAUUCCUUUUUAAAACCCUAAAAACCCAAAGAAU